rnacentral:rRNA from 1 species
AAUCCAUAGGUUAAUGAGGCGAACCGGGGGAACUGAAACAUCUAAGUACCCCGAGGAAAAGAAAUCAACCGAGAUUCCCCCAGUAGCGGCGAGCGAACGGGGAGGAGCCCAGAGCCUGAAUCAGCAUGUGUGUUAGUGGAAGCGUCUGGAAAGGCGCGCGAUACAGGGUGACAGCCCCGUACACAAAAGCGCAUGUGCUGUGAGCUCGAUGAGUAGGGCGGGACACGUGGUAUCCUGUCUGAAUAUGGGGGGACCAUCCUCCAAGGCUAAAUACUCCUGACUGACCGAUAGUGAACCAGUACCGUGAGGGAAAGGCGAAAAGAACCCCGGCGAGGGGAGUGAAAAAGAACCUGAAACCGUGUACGUACAAGCAGUGGGAGCACCCUUUGGGGUGUGACUGCGUACCUUUUGUAUAAUGGGUCAGCGACUUAUAUUCUGUAGCAAGGUUAACCGUAUAGGGGAGCCGGAGGGAAACCGAGUCUUAAUUGGGCGUUAAGUUGCAGGGUAUAGACCCGAAACCCGGUGAUCUAGCCAUGGGCAGGUUGAAGGUUGGGUAACACUAACUGGAGGACCGAACCGACUAAUGUUGAAAAAUUAGCGGAUGACCUGUGGCUGGGGGUGAAAGGCCAAUCAAACCGGGAGAUAGCUGGUUCUCCCCGAAAGCUAUUUAGGUAGCGCCUCGUGAAUUCAUCUCCGGGGGUAGAGCACUGUUUCGGCUAGGGGGCCAUCCCGGCUUACCAACCCGAUGCAAACUGCGAAUACCGGAGAAUGUUAUCACGGGAGACACACGGCGGGUGCUAACGUCCGUCGUGAAGAGGGAAACAACCCAGACCGCCAGCUAAGGUCCCAAAGUCAUGGUUAAGUGGGAAACGAUGUGGGAAGGCCCAGACAGCCAGGAUGUUGGCUUAGAAGCAGCCAUCAUUUAAAGAAAGCGUAAUAGCUCACUGGUCGAGUCGGCCUGCGCGGAAGAUGUAACGGGGCUAAACCAUGCACCGAAGCUGCGGCAGCGACGCUUAUGCGUUGUUGGGUAGGGGAGCGUUCUGUAAGCCUGUGAAGGUGGCCUGUGAGGGUUGCUGGAGGUAUCAGAAGUGCGAAUGCUGACAUAAGUAACGAUAAAGCGGGUGAAAAGCCCGCUCGCCGGAAGACCAAGGGUUCCUGUCCAACGUUAAUCGGGGCAGGGUGAGUCGACCCCUAAGGCGAGGCCGAAAGGCGUAGUCGAUGGGAAACGGGUUAAUAUUCCCGUACUUGGUGUUACUGCGAAGGGGGGACGGAGAAGGCUAUGUUGGCCGGGCGACGGUUGUCCCGGUUUAAGCGUGUAGGUGUGUGUUCCAGGUAAAUCCGGUUCACUUUAACACUGAGGCGUGACGACGAGGCACUACGGUGCUGAAGCAACAAAUGCCCUGCUUCCAGGAAAAGCCUCUAAGCAUCAGGUAACAUCAAAUCGUACCCCAAACCGACACAGGUGGUCAGGUAGAGAAUACCAAGGCGCUUGAGAGAACUCGGGUGAAGGAACUAGGCAAAAUGGUGCCGUAACUUCGGGAGAAGGCACGCUGACACGUAGGUGAAGUGAUUUACUCAUGGAGCUGAAGUCAGUCGAAGAUACCAGCUGGCUGCAACUGUUUAUUAAAAACACAGCACUGUGCAAACACGAAAGUGGACGUAUACGGUGUGACGCCUGCCCGGUGCCGGAAGGUUAAUUGAUGGGGUCAGCGCAAGCGAAGCUCCUGAUCGAAGCCCCGGUAAACGGCGGCCGUAACUAUAACGGUCCUAAGGUAGCGAAAUUCCUUGUCGGGUAAGUUCCGACCUGCACGAAUGGCGUAAUGAUGGCCAGGCUGUCUCCACCCGAGACUCAGUGAAAUUGAACUCGCUGUGAAGAUGCAGUGUACCCGCGGCAAGACGGAAAGACCCCGUGAACCUUUACUAUAGCUUGACACUGAACAUUGAGCCUUGAUGUGUAG